UACGAAGGUGGCAAGCGUUGUCCGGAAUUAUUGGGCGUAAAGGGCUCGUAGGCGGUUUGUCGCGUCGGGAGUGAAAACCUUGGGCUUAACUCAGGGCUUGCUUUCGAUACGGGCAGACUAGAGGUAUGCAGGGGAGAACGGAAUUCCUGGUGUAGCGGUGAAAUGCGCAGAUAUCAGGAGGAACACCGGUGGCGAAGGCGGUUCUCUGGGCAUGAUCUGACGCUGAGGAGCGAAAGUGUGGGGAGCGAACAGG
rnacentral:rRNA from 1 species